CAAAAGGCACAGGGGAACCUUCCAGAGUGGGACACUGUGGAACAGUCACUCUGCUGACCACUGAGCUCUGGGAGACUCGAUUCUUCAAGUUCUAGGGGCCUGGAGAUCCUCACAUUUCCUGGAAACAGAGCAUGGCUUUGCAGCAUCAGUCCUGGGGCUGAGAAGCCAUGGGUGAAGGGAGCCUUGGAAUAUGGAUGGUCUCCUUUCUCCAGCACUGCAGCAGCGGAGCGCCGCAGACUUAGGUCUGGAACUCACCUGGGCCCUACACUUAGAAGCUGCAUGACCCAAGGCAAAUUCUUAGCCCUUUCUGAUGGAUUUUUCUCCCCUACAAAAUGUGUGUGGUGGCAUUUUGUUCCCAAGCCUUGCGCCUAGAACAGAAUGAGCAAGCAGCACUUGGUACCUGGUGGCCAGCAUGAGGGGGGGUUUAGGGGACUGGGCACUUGCUGGUGGAGUUGAAGCAAUGAGGUUGUGUCUGUGACCCUGAAGGGAAGAAGGAAGUUAGCAUGAAUGGGUUGAGGGUGAAGGACAAGAUAUUGGUUCUGAGGACCAAUAUCUGGAUUAUAUAAAGAACUCAAAAACUAGAUUCCCCCCAAAUAAAAGAUCCAACUCUAAAAUGAGCAGUUGAAAGAUGGUGUCAUCCCAGCACUUGGAAGGCUGAGGUCGGAGGAUUGCCAUGAGUUCAGGGCCAGCCUGGGUGACCCAGUGAGUUUGAGGCCAGUCUGAACUACAUAAUGGGACUGUCUCAAACCAAAACACCACUAAAUGGGCAAGUGAAAUGAAUACACACUUCUCAAGAGAAGUACAAAUGACCAAUGAAAACAUGAAAAAAUGUUCGGCAUCUUUGGCCAUGAAAGAAAUGCA
rnacentral:lncRNA from 1 species